UGGAGCUUUAAACCCAACAGCACCUAUUCUUUUUAAAUCCACUUAUUCUUAUAGUAAGUGCUUGCUUGGUUUUAGGUUGGGGUGACCGCGGAGUAAAAAUAAGCCUCCACGAAAAAAGGCAUAAAAGCCUUAUCAAAGAAUCACACUUCUAUGAAUUAGUAAACUAAUUUUUGAUGAUCCGAUAUUCGAUCAACGAACCAAGUUACCCUGGGGAUAACAGCGCAAUCCACCUCAAGAGCUCUUAUCGACAAGUGGGUUUACGACCUCGAUGUUGGAUCAGGGUACCCCAGUGGUGCAGCAGCUACUAAAGGUUCGUUUGUUCAACGAUUAAAACCCU
rnacentral:rRNA from 1 species